AGUGAGCUGCACCCGCGGAAAAGGAGGGGGAGCGGCUGGUCAGCUGCGCCCUGCGGGUCGAGAAUGUCAUCAGCAGGGAUGGCGGCGCUUUGAGUGCUGAGCGCGGCCCCGACCGGGACCCCCUACCCUUGACCCACCCUCGCAGGCCGAGCCCCGACUCCCGACCCGCCGUCGCAGCCCGCGGCCCCGACCUCUGACCCGCCCUCGCAGCCCGCGGCCCCGACCUCUGACCCGCCCUCCCAGCCAGACCCUCUACGCCCGACCCGCCCUCGCAGCCCAUGGCCCAUCGGCCCGGCAGUGGACGCAGAGCCUCGGCCCCGUUCCCUCCCCGGACCCCCCGGACCCGCUCUCCGUCCUCCCUGCAGAGCCGAGGGCCUUGGCCCAGCCCCGCAUCCUCCCCGACCGUGCUCGAUCCAGCCCGGGUGUGCUGCACCCGAAACAGGCUCCCGGGGGCCGUCGGGCCUGUGGGUGACCGUGCAGGCCAGGAUCUCCCCCUUCCCAGUCGUGACAACCACAGAUGGCCCCAGAUGCCACGUUAGGGCGAGAACCCUCCCAGCCAGGAGGCUGCGGCUCUGCCUGAACCCCGACCCAGGGCGAACACCCACAUUUGGCCCCUGCCCGGUGCUGAGAGAGGCCAGAGCGGCGUCCCCAGAAGCGGAGCGGGAGCCCCACGUCCGGCGGCCACGAUAGAAAGAAGAAAAGAAAUGGGUGGUAGUAAGUAAAAUAAAUCGUAUGAAACAUAAAA